UGUCUGCAUGGGAGAAUAUGCUCCUGCUCUCAAACUGGGUGUUCCUUAGGGGUUUUGUUCACUGUUUUGUUCACUUUGGGGCUGUUCUAGCAUUUCAGUAGUUUCAGAGGGAAUCUAGACAACCAAGGAGAAGGGGUCUUCUUCCCCUGUGGCAGCAGGACUAUGUUUCUGGUUGUCUUCUUGACGAUAGCCAUUCUUUCAAUGUAUAAAUAGGGGAAAAAACAGCGUAGACACUGGGAAGUUGGAGGUUCUUCAGAUGGAAAAAGGAAGCAGAGAUGGGAAAGGAGGGGUUAGGAAAGGAUUUGAAGAAAGAAAUUGAAGGAAAAAUUAGAAACAGCUUUAAGUAUGGAGGGAAAGAAGGAUUAAAAAAGGUGCAAAAAAAUGGAGAUACUAUCUACAUGAGCAGGUUCCCUGGGGUGCAUGUGACUGCCACUAUGAACCUCAAACCUGCAAUAUUUUAUUUAUUUAUUUAUUUAUUUAUUUAUUUAUUUAUUUAUUUUUGGUGCCGGGAAUCCAACUGACAACUUUGCAUCUGCUGAGCAGGCACUGACACUGCUGAGUUGAAAGUCCUUAUAUAUUUUUUUAGAACCUUUUCUCUACCAAACCUGGGCAGAGGUUUUGAAUGUCAAGAUCAGGAGGCUCAGUCAUGAGGGAGGAAGGCUCUGCAAGCUAAGGCCUAAAGGGGAGGUGGCACAGGGAACUGAGGUGUGUUUCCCUGCAUGCACACCUGCAAAGGUGUGUUUCCUCUUCCUGGGCAUCUGAAGGAUGAGCAACUGCUCUCAGUACCAUCCUUCAAGCCCUAGUGUGGAAGGGGAAAAUCACUGCCCUGCUCACUUGUGGAUUCUGGGCAGUAGGUGGGACAGGGUAGCAGGGACCCGGCUCGCAUUUCAGCCUGGGCGGCCCUGAGGAGGCCUCAAGGUGAGUUAAGUUGCUGGUUUCCUAUGGGCCAUGGGCUUUUCUGUGGCGCCACCCCACCCUACUGUAGUGCGGAAACCAGUCCCCAACUUCUCCCAAGUUAACCAACCACACCUUGUGCUGACCCAGAGCAGCUGUGACAACUUGGGUGCUGCUGAUCUUUGCUGAGUGCUGGCUCAGAAGCCAGGCCGCCUCGUCCUGGCGUUUGGAUUCUACCUCUAUGCAAAGAUAGGGGUGUAGCAGGUUGAACAACAUGGUGCUCUCACCAAGUGACGACAUCCUGGCAGUGAGAGGACAUGGGUUAGAGGUCACAUAAAGGGGUAACUUGGGUAACUUUGUCGAAGGGACUGAGUCCACUGCUGGUUUUACCCCUCCCCACAAUGGCUGUUUCCCCCAAUGGCAGCAUCAGCUGUGUGUGGGGGGGCUGGGUCUAGGUCCUCACUACCCUGCAGGUAUCUUUCCCAGCUGGGCUAUAUUUUCCCAACCCCUUGGGUGAGGGGUGCUCGGGGUACUGAGACCUGAACAAAACUGCUCCCAAGAGCCUUUGAAAAUCCAGGACACAUCUUGCCAAAGUGAGCCCCUCCCUAUUUUACAAUAUCACAGCCGUAUACUCACCAUGCUUCUUAACAAGUACACAUUGAAUCCUUCAAUGCAGCCCGGCUUCCUCAAAUAGACCUAGGCUGCAAGCCUAGUCAGGUUUUCUGCCUGAUUAGUGUCAAAUGUUGGCUUUUAUGUUCAAAAGUUUCAGCUGCUGUUGGGAGGAGUCUUAACUAGAAUGAAUUUCAUGGGUGGAGUGAGGGCUCCAUUUCAAAACCAACUCAUGGUUCCUCUUUCCUGUGCAGGCUCCAGUAGUCCUCUUCCCAGCGUUUCCUCUGAAGGAUGGCAGGGCAAGAGCGAAGGUCUGAAGGGGAGGGAAUGGGAAGAGGUGAUCAGGUGUGAUGUGUGAAGACAGGAGUCAUUCUGUAACGCAUGUACCUGAAAAUUUAGAUGGGCAGGGGAGGAAACCUGUCCAUGGGGUGAAUCCUACCCUGUACCUGGCUCCCCCCCUGAUUCUGUCCUGUCCUGAACUGAGUGAGCUCUCAUUCCUCACAGCUAACCUCACAGGAGAGGCAUCCCAAAAGAAUGUUCCAACAUCCUACUUGAUGCUUAACACAAACUAGAGAUCAUAACAGUUAAGCAACUCGCCAAGGAUCACUUCCACCUGGCUGAAGUUACUGGGCUGAAUGUUUGAAUCCUGUGUGUGCAAGAAGAGCUCUUGAGACCCCUGACCUCACUGGGCUGAGUUAUUUUCUGAGAGCUAAUCAUCAGGUCCUGUGCCCCUUCACCACUGGCAGCAACGUCUAAAUUUACUUUUGAUCUGUGACUCUGAGGCUGCAGAACACAAACUUGGCUGGGGAUGUGUUCUUUUCCUGGAUGCUCCCUUACUCUGAGGAUGGUCAUGUGUGUUAGCAGGGCAUAUUUGCUGGUAUCUGCACCUCCCUGUAUGAGGCUCACAGGAGGAGUGGAGACAGAUAGUGCCUCUGUUUGCAAUGAUGACUCUGAUUGCGUGAAUGGCGACAGCUUCCACUGACUCUCUUCACGAUGUUGAUUAUUUCAAGAGCCCCAGACAAUGUCCACCAUAACUUUUCCAAUGGGGAAAAAUUUUGUAAUAAAGAUGUUCUUUUUCUGGAAAGAAUUCAAUACAAAUUCAGUAAAAUCACAAUAUAUUUGCUACAUUGGGUUCUUCUAUAGUAAUUCUGAUGAUCCAUCAAGAAUAGCUUGAAAGCAAAAAACUUUGUGUAAUGUUAGGGUUUUUUUUUUUUUUUUUAGUAUGAAUUUUCUUAUCUAAUAAGACAAAACCUCACAGGCUGCCCCACACUCCUCCCACUCCUAGUUUUGGUCAAAACUUUUGAUAUGCCCAUGACAGAGCCCACACAAAGCUGUAAGGUAUUCCUGUCUGAGAGCGUUUGAUUCUCAGUUGGAUGGCAUGCAAUGAGUUGCUGUCUACCUUCUUCUGAAUGUGUGCCACACUGGAUCUGGAGGGACCCUUUCUAGCUGGACACUGUUUUUUUUUUUUCAUCUAAAAUUCAGUGAUGAUCUCCAGGCAUCUGUUUUAUGAUUCAGUUUAUUGUAUGCUUUCUGUCCAUUCAUUUUUCUUUGAUAUUCUGGUUACAUUUAUUGCAUGGGUCUGGGGGUAACUCACAAAUUGAACUGUCAGAACUGAGUUACAAAUCAGUAAGUUAUAGUAGUAUUUGUUACUGUGCCUAGGUAAGAAAUACUAAACCUGAGGAAUAUAUCUAUUUUUCUGAACUUUAUUUUCUAUUGUAGUACCAGGUGUCUUGCGAAUAGAAAAGGAUUUCACAGCUGGCCUGCUGUGACAGUGAAGUUAGGACCUGGUGAAGACACUAGCAUAGAUUGUCUUACGGAAGCCAGGGUAAGAUGAAAAGGAACAGGAAUCUGUUUAUUUUCCUGUCUUGGUUGUGGAAUCUUGGUGGUUCAGAAUCCUGACCUAAUUUGGUCUCAUAAUGUGGCACAAACCUUAGUAAAUAACUAUGCAGUUGUUUUGGGGCUUAUUGUCUCAAACAUUUAAAGGACUGAUGGGACAGAACUCCAGGCUAAAAUAAUUGGGAUGAAUCCCAAGUUGUGAACACUGAGCAGUUCAUUUCCACAUUUCUGUCCUUGUCAUUGUUCUCUGUAGCUGAAAUACGGAAAUCAAAAGGUCUUUGCUUCUCAACCUCCUGUUCCAUAGUUUUAGCUUGGGGAUGAGCUGUUGUGGUGAGAAUGAAUCAGACCGACUGGCCCUGAAUCUCUGACUUCCUGGAGUCUUUUUUCAGUUGGGAGUGGAGUUGAGGAGGGAUGAAGGUACCAGUUUUUUCCAAUCCAAAAUUCAGAAGGUGCCUUAAUGCUCAGGAUGAGGGUUCCCUGCCGAAGGAUCAAUCUACCUUUCUCUUCCCAAACUCUGCCCAUGUUUCCCCACCCUCUGCUUUUCUGGCUCCACUGGGCUGCCACACACAAGGUCUUAGACUUUGUUCUGAUUCUAAUCAGAAGAAUACCAGCGGCCAGUGGGGUACUAGUGCAGUGGAAAUGUGUGUGUCUGCAUUUCCUGAUUCCGUGCUUGCCAUUAGAGGCCUGGUGCCUGAAGAGUACCUUUGGGGAGAGUGCUGAGACUAUGCUGAGGCGCAGAACUGUGAUGUGAACGUUGCUGUAAUCCUAGAUGAAUUUAAAGAAAGCUGGAGUUACCAAGUACUUUGGAGAGCCUAUGGACAUGUUGAAUUCCCUGAACACAAAUGACUAAGUAUAAUGAAGGCCUUGGUUACUUUUUACUGAGACACAAUACCCAAUGCCCACAAGGAAAGCUUUAUUUGUUCCGUGUGUAGAUGUUUCAGUACACAAGUGACAGGCUCCAAGGCAGAGGCAUGGCAGAAGAGCAUUGUAGAGAACAAUUGAUGGCAGGAAAAAGACAGUGAAAGGGACCUUAACAGCUUUUUUAAUGCCCCUUUUAUAUUCUAUCUAGGUUACCUAGAUUACCAGGGUAGACAAUCUAGUCAGUGAACUGGUUAGUAAUCACCCCAACUUGAUCCUCACAGCCUCACCCUAGCACUGCACUAAGAGUCAGUCACACUCUAGAUCCAGCCACCUGUGAAAAACAUGACUCAUGACCAUGUGAGUCUUUGGGGGGGGUUUAAACACAAGCCAUAAAAGGGAUCCCUACAAGAAAUUUCCAGUGGGAAGUAGAUGUCCUGUCUUAAGCCAUUGAAGCACUUUUAGUCAAGGAAGAUGGACUUAUCAGAAGCCUGAAUUCCUGGAACACCUUUCUAGUGUAGUGUGACUAAUAACCUGUGUAAUAUAGAAUAAAAUUGGUAUGUGAGCUCCAUUUGGGAGAAGUUGAGUUCUGUGAGCCUCUUUGCUCCUUCACACUUUUUUUAUAGUACACCAUACAGAGGAAUGGAUAUGGAAUCCUCAUUUCGUCCCAUUGGGUCAGGGAUGUGACAAAUACACAGCUCAGAGGAGCCCGAGUAAAUCUGGGCUCUAUGAUAGAAGUAUUGCCUUGCUGCGGGGCAGGGAUGAAGUCUAACAGAAAACAUGUACUGAAUUUUCUGUUGUCAACCACGUUACAGCUACUCUGACUUAACUGAGUCUAGUUAAUGCCCUCACGCGUUCCCCCCCCCAGAUCCAUUCACCCUAACGAUACAUCCCAUAGAUUUAUUGAAGAAAGGAUUUUUUUCACUCAGCAGUUGCCAAGUCAUGGGUCUGUUUGAAAUUCUUCCCAAGCUUUUUCUUAGUUGUCAAAGGGCCGGCAUGGAACAAUUCCAUAUCUGAUAUCAGGAAACACAGGAUCAGGGCUUAGAAGCUAGGCAAAUGUCACAUCACACACUGGAAGAACUAGGAAGUGCAUUUGGUUUGGUUCCUCCAAUCCCAUUGUCUUUACUCUUGCACAAUUCAUUUGCUUUAAGGAUGUAUCAAACGGGAAAAGGGAAACUUGUAUUUAUAUUAGAGUUUUCCAAACUGAAUGAUCUCUUUCAAUAUUUCUUUAGCUACGGAAACUAAGAUUUUUAAAACUUCUGUUUGGGAUGGUAUAGCAAAAAAUGAUGAACCAGCUAUGACUUGGACCCUUGCAUGCACUCUCCUGGGAUCUGGUAUGAGCUCACUCAUGGAGUCAUGGUGGACUCAACCUUGAGUUCAAGGUUUUGGUGCCACUCGUGGCACUACUGGAGCCAGCAUGGUGAGAGAGACAAAAUGUUCAGUCAUUUACCUGGAUGGUGCUGAUAUUCUAGGGAAUAAAGAGAAGAAAAACUUGGACAGAAUAAAGAGAAAAUGGCUUUCAAUGAUCCCUUAUGUUUGAACCUUUUGAACAGCGCUCUUUCCAGAAUGGCUCAACAUGAGUAGAAAAAAGUGACACAUAGCAAAACACAGUGUCGGUUACAGGUUUGAACCUCCACUGUCAAAAUCUGUUUCUCUGCUUAUUUGCAGUAUUUUGGUGUGCAUUCUAUCACAGUCAUUCUGUGUAGAAAUAUUCUAAUGAAUUUUGUAUGUACUGGGAUCUACAGUAAACUCUUCUGGGUUGUAACAAACUAUUGGUGUAAUAGGACCCAUCUAGGAAAUACAAGUAUGGACCUUGUCUCUUUAACUCAACUUUGAAAGGGAAUCAGGCGUUUUAAUGAAUUCCUGCUCUCAUCACUCUUUGGAAUUUACCAAAGCAGAGGGAGAAUUACAAUCACCCUGUAGCUCCUAAGAUGGACAUUGCUGGUAUCACUGACUUAAAAAGAUCCCUUUUCCUCUCUGUGUUCACACAAGUUCCUCAGGCAGGUUGAGGCAAAUCAGUCUACACGUUUCCAAAAUGAACUUGGCACCAUGGGUGCUAUGUCUUUUUUAGCCGUGGAGCAGAAGUCUUAACCACUGGUCCUUUAUGGCUUUCUCUUCUUACUGUCCCACAGACGAAAUACAGGAGAGGUGAGAUCCCUGGGAUUCAUGCUGAAUCCACAUGGCUUGGUAUCCUCUGACCUCUUUACCGCAGUCUCAUAAUUUUACUUGUUAUGGAAAUGCUCAGUAAUCAGUGCAAAUCCAAACUGUUCCCAGAAACAAAAGAGAAUGAAAGUGUGGCAAGGUUAUGUAGCUUCCUCCUCAAGCAUCAAGAUCCCUUGGAAUUGAUUACUAGGAGUUUGGAGUUCUAGAAAUGUGUUCAAAACCAUCAACUACCUCAGUGUAGAAAGCCUAGCAAUUCUAUAUAAAGGUGUGUUUUAUUACUGUGUUUCUUGGCAAGAUAAGUGCCUGUCUUCCCAACCUAAGCCCACCAGGCCUCUACCAAGCAGGCAGAGCACAAUGCCCGGGUCUGAUUCACUGGCAGGAAGCCCUAGGUUCUUCCCUUGUGAUGGCUUUAAGAGGCUGUUUGGUGAUCAAGUUUUGGCUGGAUCAAAAACCAUGCUGUGGGCGUCCAUGUACAUAGCCAUUUUCUUUGCAAUCUACCGUCUCUCACAGAAAAAGUGAUGCUUUUUGAUGUCACACAUCUUAGUUGACAUUAUUUAGACUAUUCAAAUACAUACUGGAGCAAAGUCAGGUUCAAAUGUUAUCCAAACUUGCUCCAAACUUGCUUCAGAUGCAGAGGGUAAAAUGUGCACCUGUCAGCAGGGGGAGGGGUCAGUACCUGAGAACUUGGUGUUCUCAGACCACUUUGUUGGUCCUGCAUAUAGAGCCAUUUUAUAGAGGGUCAAGGCUUUUGAGUUGGCACAGUGAGCCUGUUUGCUAUGGUUUCAUUGUGUAAAGAAGGAAGAAGAGACAGAUUGGGCAGAGGAAGCUUGAUCACAGUGCAGCAGGAGUUGUGGGGCCCUGGUGAGCAGUUCUGAAUGGCUCCAGUGUCCUUUGUCAUGAGUGUAUGUUAGAAACUUGAAGUCCUACUUCUCAGAUUCCAAAUCUGACCAUGCACUAUCAAAAAUGAGCUCUAGAAGUUUGGAUCUAAGCAAUCCUUUUCAGAGUCACGUAUGCAUUCUUCAGUCCCUGUGUUUGCACAUUGAAGCAGAGCUCUCCUCAGGGUGUCGUGCCCCACUCAGUCUCCUGAAUGGACAUUCAGGCCAGGCUAAGACUGCCUAACCUUGACCUGGCAGCAAGAGUGUACAUUUACUCAUUAUUGAUCCACCAGCCUGGAGACAGUAGGAUACAACAUGGAUAGCACUGUCCUCACGCUACUUUGGUCACGCUCAUGCUGAAAAAUGCUCAGUGAAAGGCAUAGUAAACUAGUGGGGGAAAGGAACCUUUGCAUCCUCUGAGUCUCCCAAGGAGCUCUGUGGACAACUGCUUGUAAGUGAGGUUUUUCUUGGGUGCAUUAAAGUCUGGGGUAUAACAUUUGAACCUGACUUUGCUCCAGUAUGUAUUUGAAUAGUCUAAAUAAUGUCAACUAAAAUGUGUGACCUCAAAGAGCAUCACUUUUUCUCAUUCCAUGGGGCUCACAUGACACCCAGUCUUCCAGCCUUGGAAAAAUUUCUGGAUUAUGAAGGUAAUGACGGCCUGGAUCUGUCCAUGUCCCUCAAGUUAUACCAUGGUUGGUCACAAGGAACACUUGAAAGCCAUUUACUAUGCCUUCUGAAGAUGGUAGUCUUCAUCCAUUUGUCUUCUCAUACAAAAUUUUAUUUUACAAUGUCCUUUAUCCCUCCAAGAUAGGCCAUAUUUAGCAUAUCUGGGAGUGACUGUCAGAGACCUAAGUUCUGAGUAGGAAAUGUGCCAUAGCUACUUAGAUGAGGAAUACUAAUAGAGAACUGUAUCAAGUCUCAGUUGUAGACUUAUUUCCAAGCACAGUACCCCAAGGCUUUUUGGCCAGGGGAAAGAUACCUAGCAUCUCACAACUAGUGACAGGGAAUCUAGAGCCUGGAGAAGCUCUCCCUGAAUUCUAGUUUGAAGGCAACUCCAUAAUAACAAGUGAAAGCACAGUAAACUUGCCUGCCCUUUCGUGUUAUGGUCCAGAGAGCUAAUGAUCUUUGCAUCUGUCAUGGACCAAUCAGUGACUGAGUAGUGUCUUGGCUUCUAGUUCCUGCCCUAGGCAACAAUUCGCAUGACAAAAUUUCAGUAAACCCUGGGCAAACAUGCUCUGAGCACUUGUUCACUUCUAAGUCCCUUCAGACCACUUCUCUGUAGCCAAUAUUAUGGGAUCGAGAGCUGUUUAUUUCUCAAUGUCCAGUCCCAUGGUGCCUUUGUCAAUCCCUACUAGAGGUCAUAUGUGGCAGAGCUUAAAGUGAUUCUCCCUGGGUUGGGGACCCAAAGCAUCCAGUGAAAACCUGAAGCCCAUGGCAAAAUCCUGUCCAAGUCCUAAUAGGCAGCAGUAUCCUUGCUGGGGAGACCAGAGGAUAUAUGGCAGAAAGGCCGAAGGGUCAGUGCUGGAAGUUUAAGUGUCUGUGCUUAAAGGCUGAGGGACAUGCAUUGGAAGCCAGGAGAAUGAUUCUCAAGAUGAAUAUGAGAAUUGAAGUAGUCUCAAAAAUGGCCAAAAGGCUGAAAUUCCUCUGAAGAAAAUCAGUCACAAUGAAUCAGCAAAGAAAAUGAGCCAAAAUCUUCAGCUUUUUUUCUCCUAUGGUUUUUCCACAUUCCUCAAAGUGGGUUUUUCAUGCUCAGAAGUGUUGGUGUGACUCUAGACUACUGGUCACUGACCACAGACUGCAUGCAGGAAGCCAAAGUAAGUUUCAUGUUGUCGCUUCCAUUCUGCCUCUGAAGUGAUGGACCUCUGACUGGAGAGGGACCUCUAGAUACUACUGGCCAAUCUGCCUUCAUACUUGGAGGCCAGAGAUGGAAUCCUGGCUUUGUGAGUGAAGUUCUUGAGGCUACCCAGUGCAUAAAGGGGAAAGCAAGAUUCCAGUUGAGCUUCAGAAUAUGUGUUCCUGCUUUGUGCCACUACCUCUGACUCCUGGGCAGCAUUUAUGCAAAGUAUAUUCUUGACUUGACAGAAAGGCUGGCUGGCUAGGUUCUGGGAGAAGGGAUAUGGAAGAGGGGCUCAUGGUUGGUUCCUUUUGUUUCAUCCAGAUCUUCUAUCUUUAAAUCAGAUGCCCUCCCCUAAAUUUAAAGACCCAACCCAAAAAUGGCAUCUGAGAUAAAUUUGUACUUCUCAGCUGAAGUACAAACAGAAAGUAAACAUAUGAAAAACAGUUCAUCUUUGGUCACUCAGGAGGGGUGACUUAAAACAAUCCUGAGAUUCAAUAUAUAUGGCUAUUAUAAAAACAAUCAUCAACAAAUGCUAGUGGGGCUGGUGGGGGAAAAGAACCCUUCACUGUUGGGAGAACAGACUGGUGCAACCACUAUGGAAAUCAGUAUGGAAAUUCUUCAGACUAGGAUGAGAGGUCUCAUUUGACCCAGCUAUUUCCCCUUUGAUAUCUUCCCAAAGGGAUUAAAAAUGUAUCAUACCAUAGUAAUAUAUGCAAACCCAUGAUUAUAACAGUUGGUAAUAGCUACAUCUUGGAAACAGCCCAAAUACCCAUCAAUGAGUGGAUAAACAACUUUUAUACAGUCAUAAAUGAUACACGUGAGACAUUUAUAGCUAUAAACAAAUGGAUCUUGUGAGCAUACUAAAGUGAAAUAAAUUGGAGAUGUUUAAAUAUCCCAUUCUUGUAUGACAAACUGAAAGUUUUAAAAAUCAUCGUAUAAUACUAUGAAAUGGGAAGAAAUUUUUCAAAAGGAAACUAGAGAGGGGGAGAAAAAUGAAUGAAAGAAAAGGAUAAAAUGGAAACAAUUUUGUAAAUCAGGAGAGCAAGAGGGGCUGAAGACAGAAGGGAAUGGAAAGAGGAGGGUAUCUAUCAUGUACCGGUCCAAAUACCCUGUGAAUGUGAUCAUGUUGUGGCAAUAAUAAAAAUAAUACUUCUGAGCAGAAAAUGGGCCUAAACCAUGGGUUCAGUUUUUCUGGCAUAACAUUUUUGCUUCUUUGGAACCCGAGUUAUUUCUUUCAUCAAUAUGCUCUUUGGAAGGCUCUCAUCUUAGGAAAGCCAAGGCUUGAAUCCACUUAGUCAAUCUUGGGUGUGAUGCUCAGAGUUUGAUAGACCGGAAUGAAACAUCUGUCAGUGUGAAUAAACUUAGCUUUAAUAACUGCUCUUAUUGAUCAGACCUGUGUCUUUGUUCAAUAUUUGAUCAGGGAUUUGGAUAGAUUGAGUUGUGGUGCCCAAAACCCUCUCCCUGUGGACAUGCUCGAUUAAUCUAUGCUCUGAUGCCCUCGUCCUCCAAUACACUGACAGUUUCCAUCUGCAAAGAUCCUCCUCUUCAAGAGUUAACAUAAUGGACUCAUGCAGUGGUCUUCCUAGAGUUUUAUUUAGGACAUCAUGAACCUUACAACUUCUGCCAUCUGAGGUGUCCUAUUUUAAUCUUUGAGGGGACUGCUGGAGGAGCUGAAGAGUAAGCUUGCCAGGGGCUUGCUGGCGGUUAAGACCCAAAGUCCAAAGUCACUAAUUGAGACAUUUCUUAUCGUGUUAUCAUCCUUAUCUUGGUAGUUCCUGGUUCAAUAACCAAAUUGUAAAGGCUUUUCAUAGUCCUAAAGUAUCUUCCAAGGCCUCAUCACAAAACGGAAAGCUACAAGAGAUAAUCCAAUAAAACUGGAUUCACCAAGUGCUCCUGGGUCAGGCAGAAAUGAAAUACUCAGUGUCCUGUGGCUCCUGAUGUGUUCUUGUGGGUCACUUCGGCUUCCCCAAAUGUGUAAACUCACCCAUCAGAACAAUUGACCAUGAACUGAGGGAUACUUGGCAACAUACCUGGCAAGAACUCUUCUAAAUGGUUAACAUGAAGGCAAGCAAAAGUAGGUAUGACGUAGUAUCCAAGAUUCUCUUCUGGAAUGUGAUUUACCAGGGGAAACAAGUCCAACAAUGCAACACAGUUAAUGUAGUAAUAAGGUUUGUCUGGUGACCGGCUGUUAGGUAUUAAGGGAACCUGAUGAAGUGAACAUGAGAAAUCGGUCAUUCUGACUCUGCAGGUUAUAUCUGGUUAGAUGGAUGGCUAAUAACUUGGAGACGACAACUCCUGUAGCACAGGUCUAUCUGUUCAAGCUCUGAUUUUCUUGGAGGUCUGACCUGGUGUGGCUCCCAACUUGAUAGGAGUUGAACAAAGUGGCACCCUGGUCUUUUUCCUUGUUACUAUGACUUUGGUGUCAUUGAAAGUGGGUGUCUUGAUGUCUCCAGCCUUGCCCAUUUUACUCAGCAUUGCCUCGGCUCUGCUGGGUCUCCUGUGUUUCAAUGUAAAUCUUCCUGGUACUGUGAAGAAUGUUACGGGAUGGGAAUUCCUAUGGAAACUCAACUUGGAUUGCUUUUUAUAGUAGCCAUUUGAAUAAUGCUCUGCUUAUCCAAAAACAUGGGAGAUCUUUGUCACCUAGAAAUUGUUGCCUAUAAGUCUCAGGAAACGGAGGUAGAAAUCUCUUGCCUCCUUGGUUAGGUUGAUUGCUAGGUAUUUUCUCAAUCUACUAUAAAUGGAAUUUUCUCUUGGUUUCCAUCAAUAAUAAACUGGUUGAGAGCAAGCAAUCUUUAAAUGUUGACUUUUGUAUCCUAUUUUGCAGAAGUUUGUUUUUUGGUGGAGUGCUUAGGGCUUAAAUACAGCAUUUUAUAACUUUCAAAUAAGGAUAAUUUGUCUUCCUUUCUGACAUACAUCCUUUUUUCUCUUACCCAGUUGUGUUAUGUAAAAUCUCCAGUACCACAUUGACUAGAAGUGGUGAGAAAGAA